rnacentral:snRNA from 1 species
AGAGGUAAGGGCCACCUGGCCAUGAUGUGGUUGAUCACGGGGCUCAGUCAGCUGAUCUGGUGGGCUGGGUGGAUGUCCCUCCCUCCCUCACCCCUUCCUGUGCAUCCCUCCCGCAGCUGCAGGCAGGGUUGAGGAGGAGGAAGACCUUCCUCAAUAGAAGACCAUUCUUUAGUCAAGGGUGUAGGAGUAGCUUUCCUGCUGGAACUUCCAAACACGAGCUCUCAGGGCCCACGUGUAGAUCGCAGGCCGAGGCCUCAAGACGUAUGUGGCAUGAGCCUUUCUUU